rnacentral:rRNA from 1 species
GACGAACGCUGGCGGCGUGCUUAACACAUGCAAGUCGAACGGAAAGGCCCUGCUUUUGUGGGGUGCUCGAGUGGCGAACGGGUGAGUAACACGUGAGUAACCUGCCCUUGACUUUGGGAUAACUUCAGGAAACUGGGGCUAAUACCGGAUAGGAGCUCCUGCUGCAUGGUGGGGGUUGGAAAGUUUCGGCGGUUGGGGAUGGACUCGCGGCUUAUCAUCUUGUUGGUGGGGUAGUGGCUUACCAAGGCUUUGACGGGUAGCCGGCCUGAGAGGGUGACCGGCCACAUUGGGACUGAGAUACGGCCCAGACUCCUACGGGAGGCAGCAGUGGGGAAUAUUGCACAAUGGGCGGAAGCCUGAUGCAGCAACGCCGCGUGCGGGAUGACGGCCUUCGGGUUGUAAACCGCUUUCGCCUGUGACGAAACGUGAGUGACGGUAAUGGGUAAAGAAGCACCGGCUAACUACGUG